UCUUUCAGAGAGCAAACUUCUCGCCAGUAGGCUGAAUGAAGUUCAUACAUUACUCCGGAUAUAUAGUUCUGGCAGGAACCAGCAAACCACUGGGAACUGCUCCAGUUGUAACCAGUAUGAACUCGUUUGUUGAUUUUGGGACGGUCAGGGGUGUACGGAAGCCCGGAAAGGCAAAUGAAAAGUAGAAUCGAAUUCUGCGUAUCGUUUCUGCUGACCACAUGACUCUGAUAGAGGAGAAUAAUAAAUAUUAAUUUCUUAAUUCA